UGCUGAAGAGUCCCAUAAUAGGACGAAACGGCCGUCCA
rfam:Schistosoma haematobium scaffold1393_6, whole genome shotgun sequence.